CCUACGGGUGACAGCAGUGGGGAAUAUUGCACAAUGGGGGAAACCCUGAUGCAGCGACGCCGCGUGAGUGAAGAAGUAAUUCGUUAUGUAAAGCUCUAUCAGCCGGGAAGAAAAGGACGGGACUUGAGCAAGAAUCCACGGCUAACUACGCGACAGCAGGCGCGGUAAUACGUAGGGGGCAAGCGUUAUCCGGAUUUACUGGGUGGAAAGGGAGCGUAGACGGCAUUGCAAGUAUGGAGUGAAAGGCGGGGGAUCAAACGCCGGACUGAUCUUGAAACUGGAGGGCUGGAGUGCGGGAGAGGUAAGUGGAAUUCCUGGUGUAGCGGUGAAAUGCGUAGAUAUUAGGAGGAACACCAGUGGCGAAGGCGGCUUACUGGACUGUAACUGACGUUGAGGCGCGAAAGCGUGGGGAGCAAACAGGAUUAGAUACCCUUGUAGUC
rnacentral:rRNA from 1 species